UUAAGGCUUUUGUUCCCUAGGGGGAAGAGGGGAAGAUAAUUCAUAUGGAGCAUCACACCAGCUAUCUCCUCCUCCGUGUCCUGCACUGCAAAGGAGGCCUUUUCAUCCUCUCUACUGCCUCCAAUUUUUCUCACGAGGAAUGUGAGAGGAAAACCUAGAGCUUGUUCCUGAAGCAUGGUGCUAAGUCCAUUUGCAGCAGAUGGAGCUCAUGAGAAAAGAGUUGCUCUUGUGAAGACCAAAGCUUGGUGAGGUGUCAGAUCCCCGGCGAUGGAAAGCAGUCAACUCAUGGGUAGUAAAAAGAAUGUAUUGACAACACUAUAGGUUUGAAAAGGAAAGUUUUAUUAGAUAGAAAGAACACUGCAGAAGACCGCAGCAGAGGACUUCAGCAAGAGAGAACUAAGUGUAUCAUGGUGGAUUUUUCCUAAGGGAAAUGGUCAGUUACAAAGCACAACAUAAGACUGGAACAUUGGAGUUAAGUAGCAGAGAUCAAAAUUUGUCAGUUUCAAAUACUCAUGUAUCUGAUUGUCAAUGCUGGAGAGCUGGGGCCAGGGCAGUAGUUGAUGGAUAUCACCUGACUGUCUCCUGCAGCAAAAGCAUUCCCAGAAGCACGGAGAAGUGAGGAGAAAAGGCAAUGCACCUGGAGCUGGAGACCAAGACCCCGUUCUUACUGAUGGCCCUUGGAGCAGAUAUUUGAAUUGGAGAGAUAAAACCGUGGUUUUUGGGGUGUUAAUUUUGGUGGCUGAUGCAUUCUGUGAUUGAUUUGGCUAUUACAACUGGUAUUGAUUUUAAACACAUUAAUUGCAAAAUCUCAAUUGUGAUUUGAUUUCUGUAUUUACAAUACUAAAAACGAGGCUUUCGCCAGGAGAAGACAAUUGGCAGUACUCAGUUGGAAGUGCUUAAUUGUUAAUAUAUAUCAGCCGUGGUUCUUCAGCGUCGUCAGUGUUGCUCAGUCUUGCUCUUUGUGGCGACUACUGAAUGCUUGAAAAAUUCUCUCCUAUACUCCCACUCUGCGCUGUAGAAGAGAAAGAGAGGAGAGUGGAAGAAAAAAGAGAGGGAGAGGAGAAAGAAAGAAAGGAGAGAGAAACAUGGGCAUGGAUGAUACAUAAGAUAAUUCCAGAAGAUUUCAGCAUAGCAGAUAAAAUACAGCAAAUCCUAACCAGCACAGGUUUGAGUGACAAACGGGCCGGUUCCAUGGGCACAGAUGACUUCAUCAGGUAAUUACAUUUUUGUUUUCAUAAGUGUUUACAUGUCUUUACUGUGACACCUUCAGAUUAGAGAUUUUAAAGGCUUUUAAGCGGUAUAAGGUGCUUCCUGGGAGAGUUAUUGCAUAGCACUUCCAUGGCAUGGAAUAGUAUUUGGUGUAGAAGAUGAAGGCUAGUUAGCUGCAGCAGAAUGAACAUUUCUUUAAGAACAGUAGUAAAGAACAGUCCAAGCCAGAAUAUUGCCUCUGUGUUAAUGUGGUGUGCAUGUUCCUCCCUUCCUGCUCCCUCCCCAACUCUCCUUCACAGUCUUAGUAUUAAUAGCGUAUCCCUCCAAAAUAGUCCGUAAGGUAGAAAAAUCAUAAUACAUGUAGCUGGAUCUGAUUUUUAAAAUUUGCUUACUGGGAAUAGCUGUUGUUAAAUCGAUCUUAAGCAUAGAAUAAUGUCAGUUAGAACCCUACCUGGCUAUCCAUUUCGUAAUGAUAUAGUUAGUUUUGUAACCCGAGGCAAGUUCUACACUUCUCAAGUAAAAAGAUGUCAUAAUUAUCUAGGUAAUUUAGACCAAAAUUUGUUUUGCUUGAAUGGAGCAAGUAAGUCUUAUGAAAAUAGAAUAAGACUUCAAUUAAUUACCCAGGUAAUUAUAACCUCUAGUUACUGUUUUUAAUCAUUAACAUGUUAACUUUCAGAAGUUCUUGCCUAUUUAGCCGAUUCACUCUUAAAGCUUCCAUGUUCUAGAGGCUGAAUAAAAUAUGAGGGUAGAUUGUUAUAAAAGUCAUUGGUUUGACCUUUUGUAUGCUGGAAACACAGUUGUAUAUGGAGUUAUAUUUUAUUGACUGGCUAGCAGUACUACUGAGUCUUUUUAGAUGUUAAUCCUAGACUUUGAAUACUAUUCAUAAGUACCUACUUUGCUUUCUCAGACAAUUUAUCUGGAUCUGUUUCUAUGGGCCAGUCUAAAAAUAACCUCAGGUCUAAAUAGAAAUAUUUUAUCUUUUCGUUCAUUUUCACUAAAUUUCCUCAAAGUUAUUGAGCAUGUGCAGUUUAUUAACUAGAAUCUAAUAAGUACAUAGGUAUCUACAGAGAGGAAUGAUGUGUAUUUAAUUUGAAUAUAAAUAACAGCUCAAGAGAGGAAGAAUGGGCAUGUAAGAUUGGUCAUUCAUCUGACUUCUGCCAAUUCCAAACAACUUCCUGUUCAGUUGCCAUGCUGCAAUGAAACAAGUGCCAAUGAGUUUUAGGUUUUCAAUUGAGUCUGUAUAAUCCAUGUCAAAUUAAUUUUGAACAUGGUAUGAGGUAAGAAUUUCAAUCAGGUUAUUUGCAUUUCCAUAUACAUUUUAGAAAUAGUUUAUUAAUAUCUAAAUUAAACUCAAGGUGAAGCAAGAUGGCAGAAUAGAACGCUCCAUCAAUCAUCCCCAUGCCCACAAGGAAACCAAGUUAACAACUAUCUACACAGGAGAGAAAACAAAAAACAAAAAAAACACCUUCAUUAGAACCAAAAAUCUGAUGAACACUCAUAGUAUCUGGUUUUAACUUUAUAUCACUGAAGAGAUAGAAAAAGCAGUCCAGAAUCCCAGAUGUCACCUCUCCCCAACAUGCAGGAGUGGCGGAAUGGUGCAAAGAGUGUCUCUGGGUACUGGGGAAGGGAAAACACAGCAAUUGUGAGGCAUUGAACUUAGUGCUGUUCUGUUAGAGCAGAAAGAAAAACCGAACCAAACAGCUGAUCCACCCACAGAGGAAGUAUUUAAACCAGCUCUAGUCAGAGAGGAAUCACCUACCCUGAGGAUCUGAACCUGAGUGCUUACAAGCCUCACCACAGAAAGCUACAGCGCUCUGUGUCUCCAAGUAAAUUUGAAAGUCGGUCUAGGCCAUGAAGGCUGCAACACUUAGGAAAGUAAUAGUGCUGAACUAGGCCCAGAGAGAGUGAACUGGGAGGGUACAAGACAUACUAAGACACAAGCAGGGACACCAAAGGUAGUGCUGCCAUUACCCCUCCCCUAACUGCAGGCUGCACAAUGUUUCUACAAAACAUCUAUACACUUGCAUAACAAGUAAAUAUACAAGGAUGUUUCUUGCUGUUACGGGAAGUCAGGGACUCCAAAUGGAGGGACCGGCUGGAGCCGCGGCAGAGGAAACAUAAAUUGUGAAGAUUUCAUGGAUGCUUAUCAUUUCCCUAAUAAUACUCUUAUAAUUUCUUAUGCCUGUCUUAAUCUCUUAAUCCUGUUAUCUUCGUAAGCUGAGGAUGUACAUCACCUCAGGUCCACUGUGAUGAUUGCGUUAACUGUACAAAUUGAUUAUAAAAUGUGUGUUUGAACAAUAUGAAAUCAGUGCACCUUGAAAAAGAACAGAAUAACAGUGAUUUUAGGGAACAAGGGAAGACAACCAUGAGGUCUGACUGCCUGUGGGGUUGGGCAAAAAGAGCCAUGUUUUUCUUGUUGCAGAGAGCCUAUAAACAGACGUGCAAGUAGGAGAGAUAUCGCUAAAUUUUUUUCCUAGCAAGGAAUAUAAUAUUAAGACCCUAGGAAAAGAAUUGCAUUCCUGGGGGUAGGUCGAUAAAUGGCCGCUCUGGAAGUGUCUGUCUUCUGUGGUUGAGAUAAGGACUGAAAUACUCCCUGGUCUCCUGCAGUACCCUCAGGCUUAUUAGGGUGGGGAAAAAACUGCUCCCCGGUAAAUUUGAGGUCAGACCGGUUCUCUGCUCUCUAACCCUGUUUUCUGUUGUUUAAGAUGUUUAUCAAGACAAUACGCGCGCAGCUGAACAUAGACCCUUAUCAGGAGUUUUUGAUUUUGCCCUUUGCCUUGUGAUCUUUGCUUUGCCCUUUGUCUUGUGAUCUUUGCUUUGCCCUUUGCCUUGUGAUCUUUAUUGGCCUCAGAAGCAUGUGGUCUUUGUUCUCUUUUUUGCCCUUUGAAGCAUGUGAUCUUUGUGACCUACUCCCUGUUCAUACUUCAUACACCCCCUCCCCUUUUGAAAUCCUUAAUAAAACUUGCUGGUUUUGCGGCUCAGGUGAGCAUCACGGACCUACCCAUAUGUGAUGUCACCCCCAGCGGCACAGCUGUAAAAUUCCUCUCUUUGUACUCUUUCUCUUUAUUUCUCAGACUGGCUGACACUUAGGGGAAAUAGAACCUAUGUUGAAAUAUUGGGGGUGGGUUCCCCUGAUACCUUGCAGCAUUGUUUAUGAUAAUAUUGGAAACAACCCAAAUAGCCAGCAACUAGUGACUAACAUGUUAUAUCCAUAGAAUGCAAGAAUAUAUAGUACCUACAACAUUUAUUGUGUCAAGAAAAUAUUUGCCUUUCGUUCCAGCUUAUUCAAUUGUGACAGUUUAUUUUAUAAUAAAUUGUCAAUAUUUUAGGCAAAAUUUUAAGAUUUGUUGACAGUGCUAUGUGAAUGUCAGAUUUGUUGACAUUGCUACAUGAAUUAUUUCAAUCAAUGAGAGGGUAAAGAAAACAGGCAGGAGUAUUUAAAACUUCUUUGAGCAUCUUUAUAAACUUCUGUUCCUAUCUUGAAAAAUUUCAGUUUGUCCAACUCAAGUAAGCCCUCCUUUUAAAAGGUCCCUAGAUGCAAAAAAAGAUAAAAGUGUUAAAUCUUUAAGAAAACUGAUUUGUUUGAAUAAGUAAAUUUAACUUGAAUUCUCAAUACUCCAAAGCUUCUACUGUUGGAAUUUUCUUUUGUGACACCAGAAAUUCUCUCAUAUAAUGCUGCCUGCUAAAGUCAGAAGAGGUUUAUUUUAAAUGUCCUUGUAGUAUUAGAAAUGUGUGCUAUUAAUCAUGAAAGUCAAGAAAAACAUCAGAAAAAAUAUGAAAGUAUUUGAGAAACUGGAAAGACUCGAAGUUUAAGUCCUGUGGUAGGUUACUGGUGUCUGAAAAUUAAAGUACCCAAUCCUUAGUAAGGUAAAUUAUUUUUUGGUACACAUAAAAGUCUAUAGUCAAAAUUCAAUUUCUUUAUGCUAAGUUAAUUUUUUGAUAGAAGAAUAUGUUGAUCAGAAGGAGCUAGUAUGAUAGAAAAAAAUCAAUGAACUUGGGAUCAGAAGACUUACAACUAAGUGUCAACUAUACCUCUUACUCUGUGACCUUGUACAAUUUAAUCUCUCUGAGCCUUAUUUUUGUCAUUUACAAAGCAAAGAUACUUCUACCUCCUAAGUUUGACAGCAUAUAGUACAGGAACUCAUGUAUUAUUGUACCUAAGUAUAAUCCAAGGAGGAAUUAAAAAACAACAUUAAAAAUAGGUCUACUGGGAAUUUCUCAGUUCAACCUCAACAGAAAGCAUUCAGUCAUUUUUCUUAGAGUUAUUUCUUAAUUAUAACUGUAGAAUUAGAUGGAAUAAAGUUUGGCUAGUGUUACUCUGGAUGUAAUGGUGCUGAGGUGGCUCUGAAAUGCUUAAAACAGUGUGUUUCUCAGAAAGCACACAACAGUUUGUGUUUUAGUUUUUCCCCAAACCUGAACAAUAUAUGGAUCACACUGAAAGAAAAAUAUUUCCAGGUGUUGACUUAUUUUUAUUUUAAUGACUAGUUAAGUACUCACAAUCAUAAAGCUAAGAAUAAACUCAUCCUCAUAGCUCUUACACACCUAUAAAAUUGAAACAUUUUUAGAAAUAAAAACAUUUAUGUAAGCAAUAAAAUUCAAAUUCACAAUAUUAAUUUCAUAUGAAAGAUGUUUUUCAACAAAUAUCUCCUCACAAUACGAGCAUGGUAAUGACUAUUGCUAUUGUGCAAAUUCUUUCAAGAAUUCAACCUACCUAUACCACCUUGUGUCUUGGGGUAACUCAAUUUAAGAGAUACUGCUUUAAAUUGUUGCUACAUUUUUGGAACCCAACUGUUGUGUUACACACUACCACAGGUGACUGGUUCCCUGGAAUCAUCCAUGAUCUUUUCUAGGAAAUUUUCUAAAUGGACAGAUGUAAUAGGGAUGCUUUCAAGAAUUCCUCACCACACUGAUAUUCCUGAAGCAUCUAUAAGCUACGGCUUCCUGUGCACAAAAGCCUGUGAUUUGGGGCCUUGCAUGCAGUAUGUUAGACAUAUCAUAUAUAAUCAGUGUUUCCUCUAAUCCAUCCUGUUAAAGCGAACUGAAUAUAUCCUGAGGAAGACUCUGUAUUUCUAUAUUUGAGUCCUUGAGGACGAACUACAACCUAACUUAAUAGGUAGACGAAAUUGAAAAGCUAACGUAGGAGUAUGCACCUGUAACAAUAGCUAAGUUUUGGCCAAUCCCAGCGGCCAUAAUUCAAAUAUUCAUACCUUGCUGAGUGUUCAAAUUGUGUUCAAAUAAGGCAAAUGCUGAGCUGUAACCAAUCCAUCCGUUCUGUACCUCACUACGGAUUUCUGUAGGUCAUUUGCCUUCUUUUCCUGUAUAAAUCUUCUUCCACCACAUGGCUGCACUGGAGUUUCUGUGAAUCUGCUGUGAUUCUGGGGGCUGCCUGAUUGGAGAAUCAUUCAUUGCUUAAACUCCUUUGAAUUUAAUUCAGCUGAAGUUUUUUCUUUUAUCAAUCCUCACGUUCUGCUGGGUAACUCCUCCUUUAGACCAUAUCUGAUUCAUGUUUAUGCCUUAAACACAAACUAGAAAAACUUACUAGCUAUUCUUUAAUAAAUCCCAUGACAUUCUGAUUUUCCAGGUUUGCUUACUCUUCUCUAUCUGAAACACUUAUCAUACCACAUCAUCUUCCAAGACUUCAUUUGAGUCUUAUGACAUGCCUUGUCAUCAUGUUCCACACCACAGAUAUUUCCUGAAAUGCUGAUUAUAUAAUAAUUAUGAAUCUAUCACACUCUUAAUACUUCUCUUCCCCUACUCCUUCACUUCAUCUCUAUCUGUCAAUAACUUGAAGAAAAACAAUACAAAUACUCAUCUUUCAACCCUGUAUUGCUCCAGUUAAUAAAGUAAUUACUCAAAUUAAGCAACUUUUCAUAUUUAUACAUAAAAAGACUUUGUUUUAGAAUGAUUUAACAUUCUUUAAAUAAAAUGAACUUUUCCUUAAGAAUUUAAACUGAGAUAAAUAUAAAGCAGGCAAGUUGCUCUAUAAGACACUUGGAAAUGUGUUGUGUUGUACUACACUGGAAAAAGAGUUGUGAUUCUCAAGCCAAAUUUGUCAAGGAUGAGGAAAGGUCUCCCUACAUAGGUACAAUAUAAAAUCUCUUUCUUCCAGUAGAGGCUGUAGAUCAGUGGUUUAUUUUAUUUUAUUUUUUUCUGUUUUCUGUUGGCCAUCACAAAAAAGAAAUAGUUUUGCUUGCUGCCUAAUGACACUGCAAUUUUAUAGAUAUGUGGGCAACCGAAGUCUACACAGUAGGAUACAAAAUUGUGAGAAUCAAGCUGAUAAAUUGUGAAGAUCAAAAGCCAGAAAAAUCAAGUGGGAUCUACAAGAGAGAUCUGAUGGGUCUCAGAUGAUGUAGUUAUGAAACAUUAUCUGUUUCUUUUUAAAAACAAAGAGUGAAUACACAGUUUGACAUUUAUACUUCAAAACAUUUUUGUUCUUUGUGUUUCCAUUUUACUAUUUUAACUCUGUUGGUUGUAAUGAGGAAGAGAAAUGUCACUGAGGGAAUAUUGUUUUCUUAACACAUUUUAGUCUAAAUGCUUCUGUUCUGAAGCUAGAUAUUUGUGAUAAAAUAUCGCCAGAAUAUUUCUUAAAGAGUCAUCCAAGCAUAGAAAUUAUGGAUGACACUAUUGUUAGCUUUGCAUUCAGAAUUUCUUUUCAGAACAGAGUCUCAGAAAUGUGGAUAUACUAAAAUUCCCUCCUAAAAGGGUAAAUACUAUUUCUUUUAUUGACUAAUUAUCUUGAUGGCAAACAAUUUGUCUAAUUGAAACAUAAAUAAAAUAGGUUUCAAGUGCCCAAAGCUGAAAAAAAAGUCUUUAAAAAACUGUAUAUGAUUAUUCAAUCAUAAUAUCUAACUUAGUGAGCAAUGAAUUUUUGGAAUUUAGGGGAUCAGUGGGCACUAUAUAUAAAAAGUAUUGCUACUGUAAAUGCUUAUUAGUACUAGCUUAAGUGAAAGCCUGUGUCUGAGGUACAGGACCCUUUAUAAAAUAGUAGAGACUUAGUUUGAGUCUCUGAUGAGAAAUAUAAAUAUUCUUGUACCAUCGAAGUCAUUUUAUGUUGUAAAUAAUAGAAGCUUGUUGGCACUGACUUAGUUGAAGGAGACUGAAUAUGAGGAUAUUGGCUGAAUCAUGAAUCUCAAGGUGCAAUAAUACAGCUAAGCUUCAAGUCCUAGAAAGAGAAAUUGAAAUGCCCACUAAACUUUCCACGUUGUCCUCCUACUCUUAUUUCUAUGCUUGGUUCAUAUAUUAUUUUAAUUCUAGCUGUAUACAGAUCAUUUCUGCUUUUUAAGACACAACAUAAAAUAUGGUCACAAGCUACCCCCAAAUAUACAGGUGACUGGUCCAUCUACCUAAAAUGAGACUACAAUUUAGACUGAAUUCCAAAUUCACAAAAAUCUGUUUAGCUACCUACUUAUUCUUGGCCAGGGGGACAGCUCAUGUUGUGUGGAUCUACUUGUAGCUCACCCCUUGGAAAGACAAUGAGAAAAGGCUUCAAACAGAGGGAAGUUGUUGAGAGUUGUAAAGAAAUGUAAUAGUUGCUGAAGAUAAUAUGCCACUUUGGUGAAAAUUCUGGUUGCUGAGAGAGGUGGAAUGAGUACUGUGCUAUGGCAUAUAACAGCUUCACCAUCCCGGAGGAAGCAACUAAGCAUGCCAUUGUACAAAUCCAUAAAACUGUGUGCAGUGUUGGGAAUUACCAUUCAUUGAACUCCUUAUAGCUUCAUUGUACUCUUACAGCAGUGCUAUGAAGUCAGUAUUAGUAAGUUUAUAAGUAAAGAAAAUAAAGUUCAAAAUUUUGAGUUCUUUACCACUGCUAGUAAGUAAAAAUAAAAAAAGAAUGUACCCCUUUGUGUCUGAUGCCAAUACCUGUUCUUUAUACUCUGCUGCUUAGCAGAUAUCAAGGUCAGAUAGGGUUCAGUGAAGUGCUGGUACGGAAGGUCGAUCCAGAAAGUCACAGUGGUGGGAGAGUCCGUAAAAAAUGGUUGAGAAAGAGGAAGGAACCGAAUUUUUUUUCUGUGUUUCCAGAUCUGUAUAUUCUUGUAUACCAUUUAGCUAAUGCUUAUGAAUAGAGAAAAUGGAAUCCAGACUCAUGGACUAGACAGAAUGUCAAUCAUAAUCACAAUGCUAAUUAAAGGCAGAAUCUGCCAUUUGGUAAGCAUCAUUACUGGCCAUUAUAUAUGUCAAGUACCUGUUAUAAAUCAAGCCAGGGACUUCUCCUAGAGUGAGAUUGUAGAAUAAGGUAGGAUACCUACAGAGUCUUGAUUACUUAGUUUGAUUUACAAGGAUCUACACAGACCAGUUCCAACAAUAUUUCUCACUGCAUCUAUCCAUAUUCUUCAAAUAAACCAUACUUGUAUUUCAACCACAACAGAUAUCUCACCAUUUUCUGAAGGUAUCAUGUCCUUUUAAUGGUUUAAACACAACCACGUCUUUAAGUAUCCCUCCCCACAUCCACACUCAGAGCACCGUCCUAUCCAUUUCUGCUUUGAAAGCGUUUACUAUCCUUUAAGAUUCACGCCACUUCCUCUGUCAGGAGUUAUCUGAAAUUGCUUUCCCACCAUUAGAGGUGAGUGUGACUCACAAUACAAUGUAAUAAUGUGUCCCUCUAAACUGUGAGCUCCUUGAGGAAAGGAAGAAAGCAUUUACUUUUUCUCUAUCCACUGGCAAGAUCCAAAUAUUUAUAAAUUACCUAGCCAACACCAUCAGAAACUUCUCUCUCACUCCUUAGUGUCCCGUCUAUGAAUUAAGCUAUUUCAAUGUGGUCAUUUUGAAAGCCAGCAUGACCUACAACAGUUCUUCAUAAUUUCAGUGUUUGAUCUACACCCAAUCACAUGUAGUUUGCCUUUCUCUGAAAAACUUAUAUCUGACUUAUAUCUGAAAAUACGGUUAGUUUGAGUCAUAGUAUUCAUGGGACUGAAAAACAUUUUUCUUAGUAUUACUGACCAGUUACUGUUAUUUGUUUCAUGUCUGUGUUAACUCCUACUUUUAUUGUAUUAAGUAUUUUGCUUACAACUAGAUCAACCAAUGAUUCUGGAUUUAAGGUACUUGUGUCUGUUUCCUGUAACACAUUGUUUUCCAAUUUAUCCAAUGGAGACUCAGUUCACUUGAAAAUAGAUGCAAGAAAGACUGGAAUCACAAUUUCAAUGGAAAUUAACAAUUUUUGUUUUCUGACAUCUCCAAAACACUGUAGCAGCUUCUUCCGAAGGUGACAGUAUCGCUGCCUUGGUAGAUCUUGCAGCAUACAUAUUGUUGAUCUUAUCUUCACCAAGCACUUUUAACUGUGGUACGUUGGGCUUUUCUGAAUCAAAUGGAACUUGUUCUAAUAGCAUGAGGGCGGCAUUCAAAACAAUAUUAGAAAAUCGAUAUACAUAAACAUAUAUUAAUUUUAUUUAAAGAAAGAACAAAAUAAACAUCAUUUAUGUUUAAUAUAUUCGUUGACACUGGUCUGAAUUGACAUGCAAAUAUCUUCAUUUCAUCUAUUUAUAAUGGUCAAAGUAUCCUUGAUACCAUAAAUGUCUUGGCAUAAAAAUAUUAAAGGAAAUAGCCCACAAAUUGUAGUAAUAGUAAUAAUGAAGCACAAAUAAGAACAAAAUGUCAGAACUGACACUUCUCCUCCCUAUCAGAACCAUCUUUAGAUUUAUCUGAGUCUGCAAAGAAAUGGGGACCUGUUAAUAUUUUAAUAAUUAGUAAAAAGUGAAGGCUUUUUGACAGAAUUAUGCUAUUGAGAGAAUAUUCCAAAGGUGGAUGUUUGAAAUGUUUUCAUCACCAUAUGCUUAUCUUUUUGCCAAAACAAUGUAAAUGUGUUGCUUAUAAAACUUCUGUUAUUUGUGCACAUUAAAAACAAAUUUUUCUAGACAUUUUUCAUAUUCCAAGCAAAUGGUUUUAAUGGUUUUAAAAUAUAUUUGAUAAACAUAAAAAUAUGACUUCUAAUUAGUAUUAUUUCCAUUUGAGAAUAUAAUCAGCUAUUUGUUGAUUGUCAAUAACAAUACAAUUGACAUAAUUGGUAUUUGGGAUUGAAAAAUGUAUACCAUGAUAUGCUUCCUCUAUAUGGAUUCAUGUAUCUCUAUGAGAUUUUCUUCAGAUAUAUCAGCAUUAAAACAAACCUUUAACAUCCUAUUCAAUAAAUGGUACUGAAAAAAUUAGCCAUAUGCAAAAGAAUGAAACUGGAUCCCUGCCUCUCACCAUAUACAAAAAUGAACUCAAGACGGAUUAGAGACUUAGAUUUUUGAGGAACCUCCAAACUCUUCUCUGUAGACCUCAAACUAUAAAGAUCCUAGAAGAAAACCCAGGAAAAACUUUUCUGGACAUUGGCCUAGGUAAAGAAUUUAUGACUAAGACCUCAAAAGCAAACUCAGUAAAAACAAAAACAGACAAGCGGGACUUCGUUAAAUUACAAAGCUUUUGCACAGCAAAAGAAAUAACAGAGUAAACAGACAACCUACAGAAUGGAAGGAAAUAUUUACCAGCUAUGCAUCUCACAAAGGACUAAUAUCCAGAAUCUACAAACGGCUCAAAGAACUCAACAAGAAAAGAAGAAAUAACCCCAUUAAAAGGUAGACGAAGGACAUGAACAGACAUUUCUCAAAAGGAGACAUACAGGCAGCCAACAAACAUAUGAAAACAUGUUCAAUAUCACUAAUCUUUCUCAAAAGGAGACAUACAGGCAGCCAACAAACAUAUGAAAACAUGUUCAAUAUCACUAAUCAUCAGCAAAAUGCAAAUUAAAACCACAAUGAGAUAUCAUCUCACCCCAGUCAGAAUGCCUAUUAUUAAAAAGACAAGAAACAACGGAUGUUGGCGAGGAUGUGGAGAAAAGGGAAUGCUUAUGCACUGUUGGCAGGAAUGUAAAUUAGUAUAACCUCUAUGGCAAACAGCAUGGAGAUUUCUCAAAUAACUAAAAAUAGAACCACCAUUUAACACAGCAAUCCCAUUACUGGCUAUCUACUCAAAAGAAAAAAAAAACGCACGUGCACUCGUAUGUUUAUCAUAACAGUGUUCACAAUAGCAAAGUCAUGAAAUCAACAUAGAUGCCCAUCAGUGGUAGACUGGAUAAAGAAAAUGUGAUGUGUAUGCACUAUGGAAUACUAUGCAGCCAUUAAAAUGAAUGAAGUAAUGUUUUUUGCAGCAACAUGAACAAAGUUGAAUGCCAUUAUGCUAAGUAAAAUAACUCAGAAACAGAAAAUCAAACACCACGUGUUGUUCACUUAUAAGUUAGAGGUAAACAUUGGGUGCACAUGGACAUACAGAAGGGGACAAUAGACACUGAGGACUACAAAAGGGCAGAGGUUAGUUUUGAAAAAUUACCUAUCUGGUACAAUGUUCACUUUUCGGGUGAUGGCUACUGUAGGAGCCCACACAUCACCACCCAAGCAAUAUAUCCACGUAUCAAACUUGCAUAUUACCCCCUCAGUCUAUAAAAAUAAUGAAUGAAUGAAUACAAAUCUUUAGAUUUGAGCUUUAUACUAAUCUUUUGAAUUGCUGUAUUAUAGAUAAUUAAACAAUGAUUCAAAAAGUAAUAAUGAAGUCUAUUUAUUUUCUCAAUAAUUUGUCUCAUUAAGAAAAUACAAUUUCGAUCUACUAAUGAUUUUUAAAGUGGUUUAUUUCCUCUUUAGCUCACAAAGUAUAUUUUUCCAUGUUUAAUAAGACUGCAACUUAUUUGCUGUUAAUGUAUGCACUUUAUCCGUAACUAUACACACGUUGGUAUUGUGAGUGUAUGCAAAAUUGUUUUAAUUUUUAAGUGUAUGUGAGCAAAAGAAAAGAAUAAACAUGGAUACAACUGAUAUAAA